CUCGGGCCUUGUACACACCGCCCGUCACACCCCGAAAGCGGGGAACAGAUGAAGCCGGUGGCCCAACCGUAAGGAGGGAGCCGUCGAGUCUGGGCUUCGUGAUUGGGGUG
rnacentral:rRNA from 1 species